rnacentral:rRNA from 1 species
UACGGGGGGGGCAAGCGUUGUUCGGAAUUACUGGGCGUAAAGGGCGCGUAGGCGGCCUGCUAAGUCGAACGUGAAAUCCCCGGGCUCAACCCGGGAACUGCGUCCGAUACUGGCAGGCUUGAAUCCGGGAGAGGGAUGCGGAAUUCCAGGUGUAGCGGUGAAAUGCGCAGAUAUCAGGAGGAACACCGGUGGCGAAGGCGGAUCUCUGGGCCUUACCUGACGCUCAGGCGCGAAAAGCUAGGGGGAGCGAACAGGG